GGAGAGAUGCCAGAGUGGCCGAUCGGGCACGCUUGGAAAGCGUGUGUACCGCAAGGUACCGCGGGUUCGAAUCCCGCUCUCUCCGCCA
rnacentral:tRNA from 1 species